AGUGAACGCUGGCGGUAGGCCUAACACAUGCAAGUCGAACGGCAGCACAGUAAGAGCUUGCUCUUACGGGUGGCGAGUGGCGGACGGGUGAGGAAUACAUCGGAAUCUACUUUUUCGUGGGGGAUAACGUAGGGAAACUUACGCUAAUACCGCAUACGACCUACGGGUGAAAGCAGGGGAUCUUCGGACCUUGCGCGAUUGAAUGAGCCGAUGUCGGAUUAGCUAGUUGGCGGGGUAAAGGCCCACCAAGGCGACGAUCCGUAGCCGGUCUGAGAGGAUGAUCAGCCACACUGGAACUGAGACACGGUCCAGACUCCUACGGGAGGCAGCAGUGGGGAAUAUUGGACAGUGGGCGCAAGCCUGAUCCAGCCAUACCGCGUGGGUGAAGAAGGCCUUCGGGUUGUAAAGCCCUUUUGUUGGGAAAGAAAAGCAGCAGGUUAAUACCCCGCUGUUCUGACGGUACCCAAAGAAUAAGCACCGGCUAACUUCGU
rnacentral:rRNA from 1 species